UUGCCUGCCCAGUGACAAUGUUAAACGGCCGCGGUAUUUUGACCGUGCGAAGGUAGCGCAAUCACUUGUCUUUUAAAUGAAGACCUGUAUGAAUGGUGAAACGAGGGCUUAGCUGUCUCCCUUUUCUAGUCAAUGAAAUUGAUCUGCCCGUGCAGAAGCGGACAUAAAAAUACAAGACGAGAAGACCCUUUGGAGCUUAAGGUAUAAAGAUCAUCUAUGUCAAUGGGCCCCAACACGGCAACAAACUAAAUAGCAACUGAUCUUAAUCUUCGGUUGGGGCGACCACGGGAGAAAAUAGAGCUCCCACGCGGACUGGGGUAAACCCUAAAACCAAGAAAAACAUUUCUAAGCAACAGAACUUCUGACCAUUAAGAUCCGGCUACACGCCGACCAACGGACCAAGUUACCCUAGGGAUAACAGCGCAAUCCCCUUUCAGAGUCCAUAUCGACAAGGGGGUUUACGACCUCGAUGUUGGAUCAAGACAUCCUAAUGGUGCAUCCGCUAUUAAGGGUUCGUUUGUUCAACGAUUAAAGUCCUACUUGAUCUGAGUUCAAACCGG
rnacentral:rRNA from 1 species